AUGAUGAGAAGGAAAGUGUGAAAUGUGUAAAUGAUGAAACACUCGAGAACACUGUAGAAAAUUUUCCACGAAAGACAUGUAAAACAAGCAUUGACUCAGAAAACACGGACAGUUUUAAAUUGCUCGACAGCCAGUCAUCGUUGGAUUUGUUCCCUCCUUCUAUUGAAGCCUGUGAAAAAAUCAAAACCAAGAGAAAAAGAGGGAGAGGGAGACCUUCCAAAUGUCGCAGAGCCUCUCUGCCUGCCCCUGUGAAGAAACCCAGCAUGAAUUCAUCGGAGUCACAGGAGAGCCAGGAGCUUGAGACUCUGAUACUGCUGCAGGAGAGCUUAGGAAUGGGCAGUCCGAUAGAAAGAAGAAAGACGAGGAACUCCCGGUCCUGUCAGCCAAUCGUUCUGUCUUCUCUCUUUCAGUACAUUAUUGAUGAAGCCAAGAGAGAGCAGGGGCAGAAAGAAUUUGCUCUUCCUGGCUACACUUUUGGCAAACUUAUGGAGAGUAAAAGUUUGCUUGAAAUUAAGAAUGAAGCUAUGGAGGCGGAAGAUGCUGAAGAUAAAUGUGAAACAUUAAAAGAAGAAAAUGAAUUUUCUCAGACUGAAAGAAUAUCCAUGUCAACAGAAGUUGACAAUCAUUCCACAUACACUGCAUUUGAAUCAGAAUGUCAAAACAAUGGAAUGCAAAAACAAGAAAAGUUUAUUGAAGCUUUUGAGCAACAGGAGCCAAAAACCGAAGAAGUAGAAAAUGUGCCAGACACAAUAUCUUCUCCAGUUGCUCAAUGCAAUGCAAUAUCAAAUUUUCCAUCAUUAACUUCAAUGCAUUUAAAAACAGGAGAUUUUAGUGAUGUUUCAGAUUCAGAGUCAAAAGAUAUUGAGGAAUCUUAUGCAACAAAAGAAGCAAUGGAUAAUAAAGUUGAAGAAUUAACUGUUGAUGAAAAACACAAUACAAACAGAGAAACUAAUAGUAGUGAUGUCCUUAUGUCCUUUGAUGAACCAGUUUCUGUAACUGUCUGUCAAGAUUCUCAACAGCCGCCUGAACAGAUGAAAGUCUCACAGCAGAGUGAAGAAGAUUCUCAGGGUGAACAAGACCUCAACAGCAGCAUAGGGUCUGACCAGCAGACAGAGAGCGAUGAUGACAACUUUGGCGAUAUCCUUAGAGAGAGAAUGGCUACAAAGUUUCCAAUAGAUGACCCAGUGAUACAGAGCCACAUUACAGUGGUGCCACUGAACAAGAAGAAGACGGAGGUGGUGGUCUGUCUGUGUCAGAGAUCCCUGUCCGUGUGGGCGGUACAGAGCAAGGAGUUCAACAGCCUCCAGAAGUGGUCAUUUCCCCAGGGACAGACAGCGAUUAGAGGGGUCUUGAUGCUUCCAAAGUCAUCUGAAGUCCGAUUUGCAGCCAUUUUAGAGGGUUCUGGUGAACUGGGUUUAUACUCUGCAGUUUUCCAAGAGGACCAAGCCUUCCCUUUGUUCAAGAUUUCAGACAUUCAGGCCCCCACUCACCAGUAUGUACAUGGUAUUUCUUUUUGGGUUGAAGAGAGUUUAAAAACUUUCUUUUUUUUUAAUUCGUUUAUUUCAGUCUUCAUAUACUUUAGCAGAAAAUCUUUCAUAUUCCAUGCAUUUUCAUUCCAGAACAUCUUCAAUACUUUGUUUAUUCAAACUUUACAAUACCUAUAAUAUCAUAUCAGUAAUUCUCCAGGAUGUAUCAUUGUAUAAUCUUUUGGUCAAGGUUUCCUAUUGAAUUUGAAAUUGGAAUUGCAUUUGGAAUACAUGUAUACAGUCAAAAAGGAUUUAAACAGCUUACAGUUUAAGAGUUCACUGCAUUAAUUAAUAUUUAAAAUAAAUCAAGAAAGGGACCAUACAUAGAAGAUUUCAGUAAAUCUACCACACCUUGUUUUCAGUUUCCAUUAAACAGAUAUGUUAACAAAUUGUGUAUUGUAAUGAAAAGAAAGUUUGUACAAGCUAGUUCACAUGUCAGAGUGAAUUCUUAGUAUUUUCCACAGAUUUCAUGUUUGUGCAGUCGCAUUCAACGAGGUUGUGAUCUCUCAGUGUAACUCCAACUUAAUACAGUUGCUAAAAUACACCAUGGAUUAUGAGGUAAAGACAUUAUCUAAAACCACGUCUCUGGAGGAGGCGGCUGGUGUCCUUGACACUGUGUGCUGUAUCCAAGGGCAACAACAGGCCGUGGCAGGAUACACGAGGGAGGGAAUGCUUCAUAUUUGGUUAGUUAUCUCUGGAAAUACAGUUUUGAAACCACUUACUGGUACAUGUAAAUCUAUAAAAUUAUUGAGCCCGUUGAUGAAUGAAAUUUUAAAUUAUUGUGAAUGACUGAAUAUCUAAAGUUUAAUACUGAACUUAUGACCAUCAUCUAAUCAUCUUGUAUUAUAAAGUAUACAUUAUAUAUAUUUUGAAGUUAUUUAUGUCAUUAUCUUAUAGAAGAUAACCUUCUGGAGUUAGGAUUAUAGACGAGUUUAUUUUAUGACUCAGUUCUUUUCUAUUUUGUUGCUUCUUGUUUGUAGGAACCAUGAUAUGGGAGCAUUAAUUGUGUCCAUCAACUUAGCAGUUUAUUGGCCACAUACCUCGCAUCUGGUCACUGUGUUUCAUGAAAAGGGGUACCUGUUUUGCCCCUUGAUGGCUAGGUCUGACUGCUUCCUGGCAGGCUGUAUGAUGCUGGUCAACCCCACAAACUGUCAAACGCAGGUCCUGUUCCCAUUCAACAGCAGGAAGUGGAAAGGAUGCAGAAGAGCUUUUCACCUUGAUGAUUACAUAGCAGCUGUGAAUAACAGUGGUUCUCUUCAUAUCUGGGACAAAUUCAAUGGAGAUAUGGUGUCCUGCAUGGAGAAAGCUGGUGUGCUGGGAAUGAGCUCUCACAGGAAUAAUAUUGUUAUAAGCAGAGCACAUUGUAUACAUUGUUUUACAGUUCAGUAAUAAAUUUGUUGUAUACUUG
rnacentral:misc_RNA from 1 species